rnacentral:rRNA from 1 species
AACAGAGGGUGCAAGCGUUGUCCGGAUUUAUUGGGUUUAAAGGGUGCGUAGGCGGCCUUUUAAGUCAGUGGUGAAAGCCCAUAGCUCAACUAUGGAACUGCCAUUGAUACUGAAAGGCUUGAGUACAGACGAGGUUGGCGGAAUGGAUGGUGUAGCGGUGAAAUUCGUAGAUAUUGGGUGGAACACCGGUGGCGAAAGCGGCUCUCUGGUCCGGACCUGACGCUGAGGCGCGAAAGCGUGGGGAGCAAACAGG